rnacentral:rRNA from 1 species
GUAUGACUCUCGGCAACGGAUAUCUCGGCUCUCGCAUCGAUGAAGAACGUAGCGAAAUGCGAUACCUGGUGUGAAUUGCAGAAUCCCGUGAACCAUCGAGUCUUUGAACGCAAGUUGCGCCCGAGGCCAUCCGGCUAAGGGCACGCCUGCCUGGGCGUCACGCUU